UACGUAGGGUGCAAGCGUUAAUCGGAAUUACUUGGCGUAAAGCGUGCGCAGGCGGUUUUGUAAGUCUGUCGUGAAAUCCCCGGGCUCAACCUGGGAAUUGCGAUGGAGACUGCAAGGCUAGAAUCUGGCAGAGGGGGGUAGAAUUCCACGUGUAGCAGUGAAAUGCGUAGAGAUGUGGAGGAACACCGAUGGCGAAGGCAGCCCCCUGGGUCAAGAUUGACGCUCAUGCACGAAAGCGUGGGGAGCAAACAGG
rnacentral:rRNA from 1 species